CCUCCAUUAUAGGUCAUGUUUGUAUAGCCAGGAAAGGGACAAUGUAUAACACGUCUGUAGGUGAGCUAACGUGCUUGGGACAAAAAGCCUAUAAUGUUAAUACUAAAAUACUACUUGGUGGUCAGCUUCAAAUGUCUCGGAACCUACUAAUCCGUUUGCCAAUUACACUCAUUUAAAGGAGGUAUGGUUUGACUUAUCGGCUACAUCUAGUUGGAGAGCCCCAGCGAAUUUGUACUGGAUCUGUGGUAAGAAGGCCUAUUCGGAGUUACCACAAGAUUGGGAAGGGGCAUGUGUAUUAGGUAUGCCAAAGCCAUCUUUCUUCUUGUUGCCUAUUGAAACAGGUGAGACUUUAGGUGUUAAAGUGUAUGAUGUGAAUCAUAGGAAGAAAAGGGGACCCAUAGAGAUAGGUGCCUGGGAAGAUAAUGAAUGGCCUCCCCAGCGUAUUAUAGAUUAUUAUGGGCCAGCCACGUGGGCAGAGGAUGGUACCUUUGGUUAUAGAACCCCUAUUUAUAUGCUCAACCGCAUUAUAAGGUUACAGGCGGUGGUUGAGAUCAUUACUAACGAGACAUCACAAGCGCUCAAUCUUCUAGCGAAGCAUAAUACCAGG